CAGUAUUUACUAAUAUUUCAAAGAUACGAAGUAGGUUCGAAUACAAACCCCACUCUGCUAAAUAAUAAGAAGAAUAAUAGUAAAGAAAAUCAUAUUAUGUUUAGCAAACUGGACUUUCUUCAUGAGGUUACCAUGAUGGUUAUCACCAAAUGGAAACAACUUUAUUUUUCGCAUUGGACAAGGCCUUCACUAAAUAACUUGUUACAUGGAAUAUAUAAAUAAAAAUAAUAACAAAUAAUAUUAACAAAAUUUCCAAGAUGAAGAGAAAAGCAGCCAGCAGGGGAUGAAAAUUCUGCAACAAUAGCAAGAAACUCUGCAAGUCGUGGAAGAUAGUAUUCACACCAAUCAGAUUAGACUGUCCUCCAACUUGAACAGCUUUAAUAAUGUCCCAGUCCGUUUCCUCUCUCUUUUCAGCUUUUCUGUUUCUUCUGAUUAAGGGCAGCCUCUUCAUCUACACAAGGAAUAAACAAAUACAAAAUCAAACUGUUAGUUAGAUAACACUCUCCUGAGCAUAUUUGAAAGAGCACUGUAUUAUUGAUAUAUCCGCCCAUAAGUUUGAUGCUCCUACCCCUUGUUAUGAUGCUGAUUGAGGCAUAAGCAACUGUAUGAGUUUGAUAAGCAAGAUAAGUCUCAACCUAGGUUGGCUUAAAAAUAUUCUAGAGAAUAUAAAACACCAUGUGUGCACACAGCAAGAGAGAAUACAAGCAAGAGAAACCAGAGUUGGCCCAAGGAAACAUUGACAUCAAUUUUAAAUUUAUUGAAGGAUGUUGGAAUACAGCAUUCAGUAUACAUUCAGAAAAUGUGAUAAAAUGCCAAUUAAAAACAAUACUAAUUUACAAAUAAGUUUAAUAGUCCUUGAAAUAAAUUGCCAACAAACCAGUAGGGGAACAUGUUGAAGAUUUUUCUAUUUAUUUGUGCUUCAGUCAUGCGAGAAUAAUUCAAAUAACAAACGAUUGAACAAAAAUUAGAUCAAAACCCAAGCAAAACUAACAAACUGGGUUUAGCAACUUCAUUAUACCUUUUUGAAUCAAUGUGAAGACAUGUCUUUAGCUCUUCAACGGUCAAGAUAUCCUCAUUAUCACAUUUUAAUAAAUUGCAACCAGCAAUAAAUUUUGCAGGCUCAGCCGAGCCUGGAAAAAGUGAUAAAUCCUUAAACUUCUCCUUAAGACGUUCCAUCAAAAUGAACCCUGAAUGGGAUCCAAAAAGAAACCGACAGUCAGACAAGUGUGAAGUACAAAAAUCAACUUCAAACAUCCAUAAUCGGUGACUUGUUUUGUCUCUGAAUCAUAAAUUCCCGUGGGGUAGUAGACAUAUCAGACCUUCACCUGCACUAGUUUCAAUUAAUGCGGUACUCUUAUUAUUAACACAAGACAUGCAACAUUACUCAUCUUAACCACCCCAAGCCAAAAUAUCGAAUACAACACACAUUUCAUCAAAAUCCUCUAAACAUGAAAUUUAGACGUAUGAUGAAAGGGGUAAAAGGAAACAAAAACAAUAUGUAGCUACAACUUGGUUAUAUAAUUCAUUAAAGAAUUUGUUAUUCGAAAUAACGGUUAUAAGAAAUUUUAGAGAAUGGUAAAGCAAGCUCAAACAUUCAUCUAACAACUCUAUCAACUCUAAGUAAUAACUAUGUUAAAAAGAGAUGUCACUCAACAUUUCAUUAAUCUCCAAGAGUAAACAAUUAACACCGAAGGAUGAAUAUGGAUAUAAAUACCUAGGGCUCGAAGCGCCUUCAAAUCAAAUUUAUUGGCAAGUUCUUCAUGGCCAAUUACUUUAGCACGUUGUAAAACGAGCAGCUUUAAGCUAAUAAGCAUGUCCUGCUCGAAUGGGGUCAAAAAUUUAUUUUACAAGAAGAAGAAGAAGACGAUAACGAGUGGAAGGACAAGAGAUCUUACAAGCUCGGAUUCGGAGAGGGAACAGAGCCAGCUGACAUCUUCGACCCUAUUCUUACUCAAUAUUUCAUUCAUCUCCUUCAAUUCCAUGACUUCACCUCUCUCUCUCUCUCUCUCUCUCUCUCUCUCUCUCUUCUUUCACUCUACGCGGCGGCCGCAGCUCAGUCCCACUCCCUUAUGCGCACGGUCUGUAAAUUUGAAAAUUAGGAUUAGGGAAAUGGGUAUUGGGUUUCAAGUUUUCAAUUUAUAUUUUAAAAUAAAAUAAAUUAAAAUUGAAAAAAAAAAAUUGCGGAUGUAUUUAAAAUUCUGGUGGGUGUGAAUAAAAAUAAAUUUGAUACGGUCAGAUAUAUUUUGACAUUUACGAUCACCUAGGGAACUGAUUUUUUAUUUUCUUUUGUAAAAAAUAUAAAUUAAAUUUAAAUCUAUGCUUUUUUGGGGUUAAAUUAAACUAUUAAAAAAAUUGUUUGAAGCAAACCAAUUUUUGAACGUGAAGGAGUAAAUCUCUCAUAAAUCACUAAGCAUGAUAUAAAUUAAAUAUUUUUAUAUCAUUAACGGUAAAAUUUUGGACUCAAAUAUUCAAGAAUCCAAUAUGAUGGCUUAGUAAAUAUUUGUUCUUUCAAAAUUCUGUUCUUAGCAACCAAUCCAUUUGCUCAGUCCAGUAGCCACAAAGAUAUCCAAAAUAUUUCUCAAAAAAGCUCAAAGAAUAUCUUUUCCUCAUGUUCUUUAUCUAUUACAUCAUCUUGGGCUUUAUGAGUUCAGGCAUCAAAACCAUAUCUCGUUGCAAUGGCAAAGAACUUUAACCUAAGAUUUUUAAUUCACAUCAAACCAUAAAACACUUAUAAGAUUUUCAGAUUCAGCUUUGAUAAGUUCUAAAAUAGCCUUUGUAGGUCUGCAACUUCAUAUCUAAAUCAAAUUAAUAUAAAAAUAAAAGAGUCGUGCUAAAUAUCUAGAAUGCUGAGAGAAACGGCAACUUGUGUUGUCGCUCGUCUCUCUCUCUCUCAAUGUUGUAGACAUUUUUUAUUGUUAAAAAAAAUUAAAAAAAGUGAAAAUGACAAAAAGUUGAAUAUGUUCACGUGUAUCAUUCUCUAUGUCUUGACUUUAUCCUUACUCUCUUCAUAUCAUCGCUCCCUAUCACACUUCCUCGAAUAUGUUCACGUGUAUCACUCUCUAUGUCUCGACUUUAUCCCUACACUCUUCAGAUCAUUGCUCCCUUUCACACUUCCUUACUCUCUCCGGUCUCUCCCUCCGGCUCCCCAUCACAUUUCCUCACUCUCUAUGGCUCCCCAUCACGCUUCUUCACUCUCUCUGGCCUUUCCCUCCGACUCCCCAUCACGUUUCCUCACUCUCUCCAACUCCUUAUCAUGCUUCCUCACUCUCUUUGGCUACCAAACACGGAGCACCACCCGUUUUAGAUAGCAAAUCCCAGCCCUGGCCGUUUAUGGUCAAUAAUUAAAGAAAAUGAAAAUUUUUUAUUUUCUAUGCAUUCUUAGAUUAAUUUUAUAAAAUUUGUUGGUAAUUAUUUCCACUUUUUUUUAACAAUAAAAAAAUAACUACAACGCUGAGAGAGGUGAAACGAUAGUGCAAGUUAUCGUUUCUCUCAACCUCCUCUCAGCGUUCUAGAUAAGGAGCAUUUUCCAAAAUUAAAAAGGAAUUCACCAAAUAAAACAAAAACUAAUCAAACCCUGAAAUCACUAAGCUUAAUUUGAUAGUGGAUGUGGCAGAAGGCUUCACGAACGGCGGUGGGGUUUCUUCAUAGAUGGCAUUUAUUGUGAUACCUUGCCCUCCCUUGCUACCAUCGAUGCUUUAGCUCCAUGACUCACAGAUGCUAUCAUGAUGUGGACAUGGAGAAGAUGAAGCUUGGAAGACGAUGAAAGAAGGAGAAAAAGAGGAAAAAAAGGAAAAAAGGGAAAGGACCUUGGAGAAGAUGAAGAAAGAAUAUGACACGCUUAUCCUGCAACACAAGCAAAUUAAUUCAAUAAAACACUCUUCAAGCGAAUGCCAGCUUCUAAUAUGAAAAGUUAAGAGCGGAACAAAGGUAAAAAGAAAAGAAAUUAUAGAGAGAAAAGAGAACUGAGUAUUUUUCAUUGCCUUUAUUUUGUAGACCUUACAAUUCUUCUAUGCUUCACCUCCAGCAACCUCUAACAGAAGGUGGUUACAAAAAUAUCAAUUGUCAAGCCAAAAUAACAAAAACGAAUAAAAGAUUUUAUAAAGGAAUCCACAACAUCCUGCUUCUCAAACACCAUAAUCCUUCAGCCAGCUGGGUGGAUUUCUCACUCGUGAUGGGCCUAUAACAGGUUUUGUGUCGGGCUUAGCUAUAUCUUCCUCCUGGUGUGAUAUAGCCCGUUCUUCAAUAGGUUCCACAAGAUAUGGAUUGGGUCACUCUAAAGAAAUUGGUAUUGUUGUAUCAUAAUAAAAGAAAAGAAGAAAAAAAUAGAAAAAGAAAAAAUGUAAAUAAAUAAAAUAAAUUUAUUUUUUCAAUUCUAACCUUGUGUCCAAGCACGCGUCACUCAGGUGGAUUAACCCUUAAUUUUAUACUCGGUUAAAGGCCAAGUGGCUAGGGCCGUUGCCCUCCAAAUUAGAGGGCAACAACUCAAACCCCCACAAAUAUAAUGUGAGGGUAAUUCAUUCCUUAAUUAUAAUGUAUAAUUGAAUGAAUGUAUUCUUCUCUCUUACCAAGUCUGAGUGGAGCAGACAUUCCUCGAAUAUUAGUGAUGGUUAAAAAUCUGAACAGAGUUCUAUUAGCAUUUAUGUAAGUUAGUUAUAGUAAUAGUCUGAUUUAUAAAUAUCAAUUAUAAUCUCAUAUAAUAUGAGUUGUAGUUUGUGUAAUAGUCUCACAUAAACAUCAGUUAUUUUCCCGGAGAGAAAAUUUGUACAUCGAGAUUUUCAUCUGCGAACGUGCUUGGGAAAUAUGAAAUUGACUGGAAAUUAAGGCUACUUAGUCAAGAAGAAGAAAAUUUUGUUCCAAGUCUGAUGCCGUUUUGCUUGGUUCUUAACUUACGGUCAAUUGAAAACCAUUGACACAUGACUUAGCACAUUCAAUUGGUUUACAAUAUAAAGGCACUAUUGGUCUUAGCAGCACCUUGCAAAAGCAGAAGCUGAAACCAGACUCUUUAAACUGUAGCAUUGUAUUGUGAGGGGAAAUUGUAAGUGCUUCUGCGCUGCUUUUAGAAAUCAAACAAACCAUGAACAUAGCUGUAAUCCAUCAUGCCCUAUUGGGCUUGUUUGUAGCUUUCAUUGUUAGCUCCUGUUAUGAUGGUCAUUUCAAAGAUAACUUGGGUGAGCAAUCAGUGUCAAUUUUAUUAUUAUUUUUUAAAUGCAUUUAUUGAAUCAUUUUACUAACUUUAUUUUUUCCUGAAUAUGCAGUUGAAUUGUAUGGAAGAGUGACGAGAAGCAUUUGUAAUGGCUUCAUCAUUAUAACAAUCAAAUUCCUUCAUUUCUUUGUCGCCAAAUCUUUGCAGAUGAGACUUACAUCAAUGUUGCAGGCUGUGUCUUCUAUGCCAUCAUCCUUACUACUAUUUUGGGUACCAUGAAUAAUUCAACGAAUGUCAUCUAUCUCUGCUGAUUUCAUUAAUCUUAUUUUGAUUGAAAGUGCAUUAAGGCCCUAAUUAUUGUUAAAUAAAUAAAACACUGGGUUGUAAGUAGGCCUUGAUGUGCAUCUGUUUACUAAAAGUCAGAAUCAACAAAUGUCUUCUUGUUCAGAUUUAUAGAACCACUUCAGAAUUAUUCUGAGAUUUUAUAAAUGUUUUCAUUUUUCGGGUAUAAUUUUAUGAACUGUGCUAUAAAAGACAGCCAAAUUAGAUUAAUUUAUCUGUAACCAUUAUCUCAUGCAGACAACAUGCGAGCAAUGGAGCUUCAUAAGAGCCACUUUCCGACGACAAUUAGGCUAGUUACUGUGGAGGGAACACGUGAUAACUGAAGUAGAAUUACUCUCAGUUUAAUGCAUUAUCAGGGGCAAAUUCAAUAACAUGAAUAAAUUGAAACUCGCAUAAAAACUGCUACAAACACCCAAAGGAUUGGCAUAACUCGUAUGCGCCAUAGGAGUUUUUAAUGAUUCCGAAAUGCCAAUCAUCUUGAGUUGCCCCUUCAACAAAGUUUUUGACAUUGUCUUCAGUUUCAUCAAAAGAUAUCUCUUCUCUGUGUCUGUUCAAUUAUAGAUUUGAGUUGGACUAUUAGCACCCUUUUCUUUAUUUACCCUAUUCAAUAUGUAUAAAAAUUGUAAAGUUUCUUAUGGAACCCCUUUAGUUCUAAAACUAACCCUGGUUUCUUUGAUAAACCCCUAAAGGAAACCCUUAACGUGCUCCCGUCUCUUUUCAACUUGAUUUGCUCUCACUCUACGAAUUCCCCUUCUCUAUGAUGAUAGGAUAAAUUGAACCUUGCAGAUCAACUUCAUGCUUUAUAUAAGAUGUGCAGGAAAAGAAUUAACUUGAAAAAGGUUGAAUAUACGUGGAAGGCUUUGCAUAAACUAAAAGAUAAACUAAAUGCAAGGCUGUGCAUAAACCAAAAGAUAAACUAAAUGCAACGGCAGUUGAGAGCAUAUAAAACAACAAAACAAGGGUGGCGACAUCUUUUCCAUGUUUAAUAAGCUUUGAGCACAUGGCUGUCAAAUCAAAAAGUGGAGAUUAAUCUUGAAAGGAAAAUUAUAAUACAAAGAUUUUUGGACUGUUACUGCCAAAAAAACAAAAAGAAAUGAGCAAAGUAUAUCCAGAAGCAAGUUUCGUAAUCCCAGCGAGCGGCAAAUACUUAUUGAAAGACUAGUAUUUAAGGGUUCAAGCGAUUUAAGGUUUGGUGAAAAUCUUACAUGUAUGAGUGUAUCGAGUUUUUGGCAAAAGAAAAUUAUUUUUGUUUAAUGUGUGGAAUUAGUUAUAUUUUUGUCAUUUGAUGCAAUUUUAUUGAAGGGCAAAAUCAUAAACCACAUAGAGGGGUUUCAUUAAUUAGGUAGUUAAAAGGGUGCCAAUAUUCCAACUCUAACUCUAAGAUUUUUUUUUUUUUUUUUUUUUUUUUUAACAUAGAGGGGUUUUAUUAAUUUUAUUGAAGGGCAAAAUCAUAAAACACAUAGAGGGAUUUUAUUAAUUAGGUAGUUAAAAGGGUGCCAAUAGUCCAACCCUUAAGAGGUUUUUUCAACAUGUAACCAGAACGAAAUUUACGCAGCAAAUUCAUUAUUAACAAAUCGCUCUCUGAGGUUGACUCCUUGCUCUCCAAGGUUCCAGUCAACAAUUUGUUGUCGGGGUAUCAUCUAUUUUAAUGCUUUGCUUGUCUACUAUAUUACACUUUUAUAAACGAAAUAAUUCCAUCUAAGGCUAUUUUUAAUUGGGCCAAAUCAUAAUAUUGACUUGAUCAAAGAAGCUUCCCCCCAUCAAUACAAAAACUUAGAAUUUUGAUACAUGACUUUGUCAUAUUCACUCGGUUUCCAAGCUUGUAUAUUGGAGAAACACUAUAAGCUGAAAACAGGACAGUUUAACAUCUUGGGGGAAUUCAAACAAAUAGUUUGCUAUUAAAACAGAGUGAGAAAAGAAGAGAGCAUCCAGAAAGUCAUAAUGGCAUUAUUCAAAGUCAAGCAACAUCUACUUCAAGGCCAUGAUUUUCCAAGUUUUAUUUCAUCUGCUUGUAAAUGUUAUUGUUUCUUCACAAUAUCAUGGCCCGCACAAGUAUUUGGAGGAAGGUAGUAGGGAUCAUGAUUUUUUCCUGAUCUGAUCAUGUCCUGAGUAAAUAACGCAAUUGCUGAUUGGUAGUUAAUAAAUAAAAGAAGUCGAAUCUUACCCAUACACUACCAUUAAAAGAAACAUAACACAAAAUCUUGAAAAAUUCAGAAAAGAUCAGAUCAGGAGAGGAUGAUGGCAGUAGAGGCCAUUAUAGUUUGUUUAUCACUUUGAUAACCAAAUUGAUCCAUUACUUUGCUUCAAAAGCCUUACAGUUCAGAUUUCUCUUACCAAUGCUGCAGCAUGUGUCUUCUAUUCCUUCAAUGCUCUUUUGGGUAGCAUUUAAUCGAUCAGUUUCGUCGUCUGUCUCAUGAUUCUUAAUGUGUAAUAUUAUUUCAAUACCACGUGUUAUGUGUACAUUAUCUCAAAGAAAGCAAACACUGAGUUGUAUAUUUGUAAUCACCACCCUCGGUCUGCAUAUGUCAAGUCGUCUACUUAUAAUAUACAUUUGUAAUCAAGUCGCUCUGUAUAUUUGUAAUUACUGAAAGACAAAGCGUUGGCUCCAGUGAUCCUUUUAUUUUAUACUUCUUUCUCCAUUGAUUUCUUCCACGGACUUGAGUUGAAGGAUUGGCUUUCUAUUUUCCUGCUAAAUAAUCUCAACCACCUAAGUCGGAUCGAACCUUUACGUUGUCGCUAAUAAGAGAUUUUCUAGUCUUACCUAAUGAGAGAUACUAAAGAGAAAUGAGACAACCACCUUUGACAGAUGAAAGUAUCAAAGAAUAUUGAAGCCUAACAAGAAGUUCUUGGGAAAAAAAUUAAAAAAAAAGAUUUGAAGAGAAUCAGAACAAAGUUAUGUUUCCAAUGAUUUAAUUAGGCUAUUUGUUACAGAUCUUUGUAUUGAAUUUUUACUUUGAUGCCACUAUUCCUUGGCAGAACGAAUUCUUGCAUCUACUCGGGCAGAAAAGCCAGUCUGAGUCAUCUUCUGUGAGUUGUGUUGUUCCCUUAGCCACAUUUGAUUUGCUCUCACAUCUUUCUUGCAAUAUUUCAUUUCUUGAACGACAUGAUCAUCCAUCGGAUACAACAUUCGUUGAAUGGCAAUGAGCAAGAAGUAAGACAGAAGAGAAACAACUGCCACAAGCAAUGUGAUAAGCCAGAGAAUUGGUACAGCUCCCUGAAAUGCCGUGUUGGAGUAGAAAGAAGGGAGUGCGCCAUAAGCAAGCAGGAAAAUGUACCAAAAGAAAAUGCUAUCCCAGAUGACUAGACGCUCAGUCCAAGUGAAGUGGCUGAUGACAAGGGCAAUUUGGUAAUUGACAGUCCAGAUUAUGCAAGCGUAAGUAAUGGCGCCGAGAUGUACAACGUCUGCAACUUCUUCUUCCUUGUGGAAUGCAGCUGGGUAAGGUACGUAUGAAUAUGUUGGACAGGAAGAUGACUAGAGAAGCAACAGUGUCGUUUAAUAUCCAACCGGUUCCAGCUAACGUAUACAUUCUUCUGCCCUUGUCGAUAAAGGGCAGGAAACUGUUUCAUUACAGAAGAGAUAAAAAUUUGUUGAGAAAUCAGUGUUUAUUAAUUCAAUGCUUGCACUGCUCUAUACUGUAAUUUUGUGCUUAUGCAUUACAUUACGAAAGUUGGUGUAUGCUUGUGUGGCAGGCUGCAUCUGUGUUCCAAUUUUCUUUACCUGGAGGCACACAUCUGAUGAAACAUCUUGCUUGAAGACUUCCAAGGCAAUAACUGGUAAGGAUGUUAACAAUACAUUGAACAUUACCAUGUACCAAUCAUCAUAUAAAACCUCCCCAGUGAAACUCGUGUAUAAUUUGUAGUAGAACAGUGUGAGGUCAAACGUAAUGUUCUUGUAUACAAAGUUGAGAACCUACAUUGAGGCGGAAAAAUAUUAAUCCUUGAAGUAGAGCUUCAAACUGGCCUAUAUAGGUAAUAUUAAUUUGCAUAGUAAACGUAUACCAUCUUGGAGAUUCUCUUGUAACACCAAUGGCCAUGAACUAUGAGUAAUCUCUCGUUAAGUAUUGGAAUUGCGGUAAUUAGAAGUCACUAGCCAUGACUGCCGGCAAAAUCAAAUUUUAGCAAAUGCUGAAAAGAGCUUCUCUGCACUAUCGCAAUCAAAUCACCCAAACAACAUAAUUUUAUAUAUUGGCCAAUAUGUUUGGAAAAUCUCUUAUUAUUACUAAUUUUAUCACCAGCAACUGAAUACUCUUGAAUUGGACCUAGAACUUGGGGAUUGUCAUUAUCCACUACUUGCAACCUCAAUUGUGUGGAUUCAGAAAAAUCCGCAAGCAUAACUAACAAAUGAAAACUCUCUCUUUUCUUUCAAAGCACUUGAAAUGCUUUUGAUGCUGAUUUUAUAUAUAUCUCUCUCUCUUUUCUUUUAAUUAGUGUUGUUUUGUCAGCAGCUUGAAGCACUCACUAAGCUUGUACAAUUUAAGAAAACAAACUGAAAAGGAAGAAAAAGGGAAACCCAACAAGUGAUUAUAGGUCAAUCUAUGAGGUUACCUGCAUUUCCUCCAUGCCACUGAGUCCUGCAGGCCUUCCAUUAGCCGCACCGCAAUUCAUGCAACAUUAAUAAUUCCCAUCAACACCCUUACUCAUUUUAUGUAAAACCAGAUAAUGCGCAAGUCACAUGGAAACUGCAUGCCAAUCCAUUUAAUUCCAAGUUCGAAUUAUUUCCUUAUCUGAGCUCGUCUAAGCUUGUCAUAUAUCUUUAACUAAAUAUUAUCCGAACUCAAAGUUUAACUAAUGGGGUUUUCUUCUUCUUCUUCUUCGUCUUCUUUUUUUUUCCCCCUUGUCGUUAAGACAUUUAAGUGCUUCAAGUUGAUUUUAUCAAUCACUUGAAGUGAACUGUUCUUGAAUUAGUAAGAAUUCAAACUCCACAUUGUGCCCUUGUGUCUCUAGUUUCGAGAAUUGAAAAUCAAAACGAAACGUUUAAGUAGGGCUAAUCCCCAAAGAAAAUAUUAUUACGUUGUCAAUCUUGCUUUGUUCUUGAUGAUUUAUGCAGUGUGGGUAUCAUCAAAAUUAAUGUAUCUUCAUGGAAUAUGAUGAUCGUACUGGUGGCAAAAUGGGUAACUUUGGAUCGUGGAUUACAAAUAAAAAUAUAGAAAGUAAUGAUAAAGAUCACGUUAUUAGUUGGAACACUACCACACGUUGCAAUCCGAUUAUUCACAGCUUUGUUGCUGUGCGGAUGAAGUUAAUAAGAUAACUGUCAGUACGGAUUACGGAGAGUCCAUUGAAGCGAGUAAAUCAAAGAGAUCAACACAGUGGUCGUUUUCAAUUUACGAAUCUAACCAACUUUGGUUCAUUUUUGGCCGCUUCAGUAAGUUGUCAUAGACUGAUACAUUGAGUUUGCCGAAUACAGAAAUACAAACAAACUUCGGAAAUACACAUGAUAUAGGCUUGCAUGGCCUUGCCAAAUUUCUAAACGACUAAUAUUUUCUAAAUGAAUAAUAAAAUAUUGAUAAGGAGUCAAUCAAUUGGAAUAUACAGAAAUGGCGAUAUAAGGCACCACCCCUCACAAUGAGCAUAUAUUUUUAUAUGUUCAUAGUAGGGCCGACUCGUAUAACGGGAAUUAUUAUAAUCAUACUUUACGUUCAUUGUGUACAGCCGGAGAAAUUGCCUGCAUAAUGGCGUCUGAUUUUUUUUAGGGAAAUACUUAUACAGCCAGCUUUAUUUUAAAACCUUAUUAAAAUCUCUCGUUGCAGGGACUUGACCUGGGAGGAAGAACACUAGAUUUGUCGACUUCAUAUGAAACUGCCUUAGCAUGAAUGAUUUCACUUACCAACUCAAGGCUUAAGAAAUCUACAAUGAGUAAUCAGUAGACUUUGACAUUAAGAUGUGAUUGAUUAAAGAUCUGAAGAUGCAAUUACGUAUAUGCAUUUCUAAACAGUAGUGAUUAUAUAACUUAAAGCCCUGAAAAUUAAAAGAAAGACAUUUUAAUUUGCUUAUGGAUAAUGACCGUAAACUGCAUAUUAUGUACUUGCUUAGAUCAACAUUUGGCACUGAAGGACACACAAAGCUUUGAUUUAGAGACAAGACUUCAUUCAAACCUUUCAUUUUCUGCGACAAGUGGGCAAAUGAAGUUCUACCUUCCCACCAUUUGAUAAAACAAUGGUGGAAGAUGCUGUUUCCAGAGAUCACCACGAGCUGGUUCCAUAUUCGCACCAUCACCAAAUUCAGAGCAAGCAGUCAUGGGUCCAUCAUAACGAAUAGCCAAGCUCUUAUUGACUACUGAUGAUGUCGAGUCAGUGACCAACCAUGAACUAGAAAGCUUGAGGUAUCGGUCGUAAAGUGCCAAUGCAAUGGCAGGACUUCUUCCAAUGCUCCUGCAAAUGAACCCAUAAUUAUUUUCAACGCAAUGAUAAUACAGUUCAGAAUUCAACUGUGACAGAAAAGUUAGAUACCUGUCUCUCUGAUUUAUAACUUUUUUCCACCAUAGGAAAGCCUCAAGAAUAUAUUUUUCCAAUUUCCUAGCAUCAAUCAAAAGCAUGCCUAAGUCUGGCAUACAAGAAUUCACUGCAUAAGGCUUCCCAGAAACCCAACGCUGUGAUGCUGAUCUCUGGAUAGCAUCCAGCACAUCCGGAUUAACAUAGCUGUUUAAUCUUUCAGAGCAGUCGUCAGCAGCUGCAAUAGCAUAAUUGCUCAAGUCAAUGCCAAUUAAUUCUUCAACUCUCCCCUGCAGCAGCAGUAAAAUCCAUUAAAGGUCUGAUUGACAUCAACUCGGUAAACAGAGACAACAACAAAAGUAAGAUGGUAAUAAAAGAGAUAUCAAGUGCUAACAAGAGAAUUCCCAAGUGCUAACAAGAAAUAUCAAGUUAAGAGAAACUAAGAAAGGCUGAGGCAUCUGGCGCAGCAGCAAGUUUGUAUCUAACUUUGUGUUGUUUCAUGAGAGAGAGGGAGUCUAAAAGAUUAAUAAAAGAUUUCAUAAAAAUUUUGCAGCAACUCUAUUUGUGUCGUGGUUGGAUGCAAAAAGGAAAAAAAAAAUCAUUGCUAUUGUCUCAAACCAUAUCCAGGAGAAAAUGAUAAACUAUGAACAUAGUCAUGCCCUUAAACUAGAGGGCAAAGGAAACUAACCUUCACAAUUACACUGGGUGACAUGUAAAUGAAUUUACUCAAUGACUGGUGAACGCUCGCUAUAACAAAAGGUACUAUUUCCUCAAAAUUCUGAACAGAAUAUUUUACUCCAGUGCUAGCAGUCCUAAUCACUUUUUUUACUUCCUCCUGCCUAUAGUUAUGCAAUAUCAGAACUAAGAGAUGGGCUUUGCAAGUGAAAAUAUUUGAAAAAGCAAUGGCUUACCCGUGAAAUUCAAGGUUUGAAUGCGGAAAUAAUACUUUCAGCUUAUAAAAGGAUACCAUGUCUUCGCUCCCUUUUGGGACAAAAAGGUGGAAGUGAAGUAGAUCUGGAUAUCUGGAUAUUGAAGAAGAAAUGAGAAUGAGUAACAUCAACAUUGGUUUCGGUCAUAAAUAAACUGCAGAAAUAUGUUUUCAUAUGUGUACCCACCAAGUGAAAUUAUAUUUCAAAAGAUGUUACUGUUAAGAGAUUUUGAAAUUUUAAAAAUUUCAGUCCACCGAAGAGAAGAUUACAUGAAAGCCAAAUUCACGACUUGGUAUGUAAAAUGGACAACCAGACAUAUAUUUGUCAGCCAAACCUUGAGCCUGAUAGAGUUGAGUUGACAAGAACUGCAAGCAACCGAAGGUCCAGACACUGCAUCCAUGACACAAUGUGCACCAUUCCAUCAUCUUGGCUAAUGGAGGAGAUGGAACCAGAAUUUCGAUCACCAGAAUCUCUCGUCUUGCUCAACUAUCAAACGGAACGGCAAGUUAGCAUUUUCUUCUCUCGAAAGGAUUCUUCUGCUUCUUUACAUUCCAGUGUUAUAACCAUAGCUAGAUCAAACUAGCCAUGUGGAAAGUCAAAUUAACAACAAUAAACUUUUGUUAAAGUGAUUAAUUAUAGAAUGUUAUUAAUAAAUUUCUGUUGUCGAAACAUUACUGGUUAUAUUAACUAUAAAAUUUAUCUGGAAAGUUGUUAACAUUAAACACCACAUGAUUAAUUAAGUGACAAUAAUGAUAACUUUUUACCGAAGUAACCCAAUAACCAACUAGACAAGAGUUAAAAAACUCAAUUAUCAUCACAGAGGUAAUAACGUCCCGUUUCCGGAUUGUCAUGAUUUUUAAAGUAAGAACCCAUUUAUAUAUUUGAAUCCAGUAGUUCCUGACCUCCAACGAAAUAACAGAGAUACUCUUUAGAGUUAAGUUAUAUAUAUUCCCGGUCAAAAUUCAGGAGAGGGACCUAUUUGAUGCAAAUGAAGAAACUACAUUGCGCUUUGUAAAAAAGUAAAUGUUAGGGGUUCAAUUGUUAUUAACCAUAUGCGUAAAUAUGAAAAUGCCCCCGGAAAGUACAAUUUGAAGAGAAGGAAGAGACUUACAGAGGUAUUGGAGUUAAACGGAACCCAGAUUCUAAAAGGAUCCGAUGGGUGACGGAAAUGGGUUGCGGGUAAGAACUGGAGGAGUCCAAGGAAUACGAUGAGGCCAAGCGCGAUGAAUUGAAAUAUGGGUUUCGGAGUCGGAGCCUGUUCCAGAACCGGACCAUGGGUUCCGUCAGUAUUCGGGUUGUCAGAAGCUUGUGCUGUUCUUCUUUGACUGGCGGAAGACCUCGAAGGUAGGAACGAAGAGGAAGACAUUGACUGUUUUGAAUCUUCUGUGUGAUUAGCGUUCAAUCCAAACUUUUAACUCCUGUCACAGCCUUUUUUUUUUUUUUUUUUUUUUUAAUUUUUCCCUUUUUUUUUUUUUUAAANNNNNNNNNNNNNNNNNNNNNNNNNNNNNNNNNNNNNNNNNNNNNNNNNNNNNNNNNNNNNNNNNNNNNNNNNNNNNNNNNNNNNNNNNNNNNNNNNNNNNNNNNNNNNNNNNNNNNNNNNNNNNNNNNNNNNNNNNNNNNNNNNNNNNNNNNNNNNNNNNNNNNNNNNNNNNNNNNNNNNNNNNNNNNNNNNNNNNNNNNNNNNNNNNNNNNNNNNNNNNNNNNNNNNNNNNNNNNNNNNNNNNNNCCCUUUUUUUUUUUUUUUUUUUUUUAACUUUUAUGAUUCUUACCGAUUUAUCACAAAAAUUCGAUGUUUGUCAAUCUAGUCCCACAAAUAACGGAAAGAAAUUUACUCCGAAUCCAUAGUUUUAACGUCAUUAUCAACGUACUUGUAAUAUGAAAAAAAAGAAAAAGAAAAAAAGAAAUCUCAUUGUUAAAAGUAAUUUAAAAAAUAUUUAUCUUUCUCCUCACGAGCCAUCCUAAUUGUUUCUUCUUAGUUUUCUGAAAGGUAAACAAGACAUUAUACAUUGUUUAUCUAAUUGAAGGAUAGUCGCUUUUCUCGAAAGAAAUUCAAAAGCAAAAACUUAAGCUCAUGAGAAUAGUUAAUUGUUUACUCUAAUAGAUAAAAUUUGAUGCAAACAAGUAAUAUUUAAAAUUGACUAUGACAAGGCCAAUCUCUUAAUUACAAUAGUAGGACUAAACUAAUGAAUGUAAUUUAUGUUUUAUUUCAAGUGAAGAAAUUAUAUCUCAUAUUAUGUCACCAAAUUUGUGUGAGGAAUAUAUAUGGGAUAUUAUAUCCUAGCAUAAAAAAAAAAAAUCAAAAGUACAAGUAGGCACCAUGAGUUUUUGAUAAUAUUUUGAAAUCAUUUCAAUUUUUACUUUUAUUUCAACCAAUCAUUUUCUUAUAAUUUCAUUGAUCAUCGUUAAAAAAUUUAAGAUAAAAAGAUAAUUUUUACCUACAAUCUCUUAAAAUGUUGUUUUUCCCUUCUUAAAUGAAUCUAAAAUUAAAAUAGUUUUUUUAUUUUAAAUUAUUUAAUGAUGGUUAACAGAGUUAACAAAAAAAAUGAUUAGUUGAUAUAAAAUUAAAACUUGAGAUGACUUUGAGAUAUUGUUAUAAUUUCCUAAAUAUAUACCAAAUAAAGUAAUAGUUAAAGAGUUGUCCUUACCACAUGAAAAGUUAAGACUCUGAUUGAUUAUAGUUAAACAUUAUGGGAUUAGAUUAUUUUUAUUUUUAUUUUUAUUUUAUUUAGAAUCCGUAGUUAUGUUUAGUAUCAAAAAGCGGAGGUGGGAUAAAAUGAUGGGCCCACCAAUCUAAUCCCAAAUAGUUGGAAAAUUCUAUCUCUGGGGGAUCCCUAGGAAUAGUUUUUUCAAAGCUGAAAAUUUAUCCUAUACUGUUCACAUUAUUAAAGAUGAUGCGUUACCAAUUUUGCUUAUUAUAUUUGUUGAUGAUAUUAUUGAGUAAACUCUUCUUUAAAAACUAUAAACAACUUAAAUGUUAAAAAAAUUACAGAAUUUUUUUUCAUUUUCUUUUUUCAUUGUUUGGAUUUAUUGAUAAAUUAAUUUAAUAUUGAUUAUAUCUUACAUUACUUUAUAAUUUUUUUAGGCUAUAUUAAACGUCUAAUGAAAAAUUUUAAUGCUAGAACUUUGAAAUAUGAGUUUAUGUGGAACAAAUAUACUUUCCAGAAUGUAGUGUAACAAUUAAUUUGAGAUAAUUUUGAUUAAAACAAUAUAUAAAAUAAAUUAGUAACUAUCUAAUCAAAUGACAUAACAAACACAAUAAAUGAUUAUUUAUAGUCCAAUCUAAAUAACAUAAAACACAAUGUGAUAUUAUUAAAUAUAUAUUAUGUACAGUAACAGGAUAUCGUGAGGCCGUCUUAGCUCAGUGGUAGAGCGCGUGGCUUUUAACCACGUGGUCGUGGGUUCGAUCCCCACAGACGGCGAACAUUUUGCUCUUAUUAUUUGUGAGCCUGGGCAUGGCUAAGUUUUUGGUUUCCUACACGUGGAUACAGGGGGCUGGGCAGGGAAGAGAGCGGGAUCAUACGAUGAUUCGGUGCUUCGCGCCUGUACGGUCGGUCCAUGCUUUCCACAAUCACACCAUUCGUUUUGUCACUCCCAAACUCACCGCAAAUUCUUCUUCUUCUUCAUUAUUAUCGACGAGAAGAGAAGCUCUAACCGUGUCAAUUGUAACCACCACUCUUGAAAUACUGAUAUCGUCAUUCUCUGCUUCUUCUUCUGCUGCUGCUGCUGCUGCUGCUGAGUUGUUGGAGCUCCCAAAUUCCGGUGGCGUUAAAGCUUUGGACCUUCGCCUCGGCAGGGGUCCGGUUCCCGUCGACGGCGACCAGGUUAUCUAAUCAAUUUUUUAAAUUUUUUUCUCAAUUUUUAUUAAGAAAAACAAAGGCACUUAUUACUUUACUUCUUCGUAUAGUAGUACAAUAAUGUUUUUGGAGCUUUUCUAUGGAAGCCGUUAAUAAUUGCUGAAAUGCUUUCUAGAGAAGGAGUUUUUUUAUGUGCUUUCCCAAAACCCGAUUUUGAAAGAAGCUAUCAUUUAUUGUCUAUUUGAAUCAAUGAAGAUCUAAACAAAAAACGAUUUGGGUUAUUUACACACACAGCCGAAACCCAAUAUUAAUUUUUGUUCAUACUUAAUUUGCUGUGCCUUACGGCUUUCCUUAACUCGAUAUACAUAGACGUAAUUAUAUUGGCACUUUGAAUCUGAAAAGGUUGCAAUACACUACUAUGGAAGAUUGGCUGCUAAACAGGGCUGGCGCUUUGACUCUACGUAUGAUCACAAAGAUCAAUCUGGGGAACCAAUUCCUUUUCUCUUCAUCCUUGGUUCUGGGAAAGUAAGUCCUAAUUUUCUUGUAAAUGCUAUUUGCUAAUUGUUAGGUGAAACGGGAAGAGUGACAUGGUGCCACAGGGAGAAAACAACUAGCUGUUUCAAGUUCAAAAGUUAAAAGAAAAAUAUAUAUAGGUCAUGGUUCUACUCGUAGCAACUCUAACAUAUGGGUUUUUCACUUGUCUUGUUCGGUUCUUAUAUGGAUUCAUUGCAUGCGUAUACACAUGUGUAUUCAUUCACUAAUUAAUUCUCUUUGCCUAAAUCUUGGAAGAAUCAACAUUUAACAAUAAAUAUAUAACUGUUAAUGGUUGAGCUUGGUUGGUAAUUUUAAUAACACGAAAUUGGAAAAUGCUGUGAUGUUAGUUUGUCAAUUGAAACUCUAAGCAGGUGAUUCCAGGGAUUGAAGCAGCUGUGAGAUCUAUGAAAGUUGGAGGUAUCCGUCGGGUAGUAAUUCCCCCGUCACAAGGAUAUCAGAACACAUCACAAGAACCAAUACCUCCUAAUGUAUGUACUAUGUUUUUCUUCUCCUUGUUCUUUAUGCUCUGUUCUCUUCUAUAAACAGCCAUUUUUUCUUCAUUUUGAAAUCUCAAGCCCAAUUUACAAAAAUAUGGAAUUUGUUUCUAUCUUAAGAUUCCCCUGAUUAUUCAUAAACUCAAUUUGAUUUGGUAUAUAUUUUAUGUGGUCUUGCUGGACUCUGAUUUUAGCUCCAUGUUCCGGGACAUUGUUCAUACUUUACACUCACCUGUUUUUGAUUGUUCUACAGUUCUUUGAUCGACAGAGGCUGUUUACCACCAUUUUCAACCCAACCCGUCUUGCCAAUGGAGAAGGUUCAACGCUUGGGACUUUGAUUUUUGAUAUUGAGCUGGUGAGCCUGAGGCAUUAGUGAAGUCCACCACCCACUUACCGUAUAUGUAUGUAUGUAUGCCGUGUAGCUCUCUAUUGAGAUCUUAGCAGAAUUAACGUUGAACAUCUUAUUAAUUCUUGUUUGUGUCAUACGGUGUAUGUGUACAAUGUAAUAGUUGAUUAAUCUAUUACAUAUAUCAUGAUAUGCAAACGAAACCUGAAUCAAUGACGACGAUACUCGAAAUUAAGAUAUAGGUUGUUGGCAAUUCAAAUUGCAUGUGAAAUUGGAGCUACUUUACGGGUCAUUGUUGUGAUGCCGUGACUGACCUGUGACUCUGUGAGGAGUAACGUAAAGGCUGGGCAAUGCAAUUGCAAUGUAGUGGAAAUGUGAAGUGGAAGCGUUUGGGUACUUAUUAGAUGUGUCGCGCGUCUAUCUAAUUCAAUGCAUCUUAUCAGCAACAGUGCCACGUUGAUGUGUCAAGGCGAUUGGGUUUCACUGGAGAGCCACCAAGCCGAGGAAUGUGUCGUUUAUCUUUGUAUGAAUAGAAUGUGUGUCCUAAUUUGUACUUUCAAUAUAUUAUUGUUUUUAUAAAUUGUAGAUGAACAAUAUCAUAAUUGGAAAUUGCGAAUAAAGUCCUUGCACUGUUUACUCGCUUACCCUACACAUGCAAUGUGUGAUUUCUUGAUUUGUCCAUGAACAAGUAACUUUUUAGGAACUUUAUGCAAAUUUUUAAAAAUAAAUGAUUUUUACGGUUAUCUAACUCACUAAAUUUAUUUCUCCACUCAUUUUAGAAAAAUAAAUUCAUUACUAAAAGUUUAUAAUUCAAAAUACCAAAAUUACCCUUUAUUAUUCUCUUUCUCUGUAUACUCAUAAUUGCAUAGUCUCUUCCUACUUUUGUAUUCUUUAAAUUAAACUAUUAAUUUCACUUUCUUUUGAAUUCAAUUUUUUUUUCUCUUUCUUAGUAAAUCACAAUCUCUAUUUCAUACUUUCCAUAUACAAUUUUUUUUUCUUGAUAUUCAUUAGCUUCUAUGACUAGUAAAGAUUAAUUUCUUAAUAUUCAUUAACUUUUAUGACUAGUAAAUAUUUGUUGAUAUUCAUUUUUUAAUUAUGGGUUUUGCUUCUCUUAAUUUAUGAUAACCCAUAAUAAAACUAAUUAUUUGUAAAUAAAUGAAAACAUAUGUAAGAAUUGAUGAGAAUUGAGGAAUAUAUAAUGAAUAGAGAAGAAAAGUUAAUUAAAUAAUUUUAUCAAAAAAUUUGUUGGUAAUAAAAUUUUUAAUUAAAAAUAAUGUAGAAAGAAAAUUAAUUUGUUCAAAUAGCCCCACCCUCAAUAUAAUAGGCUCCCUAUUCUAUUCAGUGAGCUGAUUAUUAUUAUAUCCAUCAAUUUAAAAUUUGUUUAUUGAGUAAAGGGCAAAUUCAUUCAAAAUAUAUCUCAUCGAAUCAACAUUUGCAUGUAAUUUACAUAUACUAAUUAAGGGGUAGGACGAUGUUAUUGGCAAUCUCUCUCUACAUAGAAUUUACCAUCAUAUUCAAAGCAAUUUUUUUUUUGGGCUACUGAUUGAGUGGAAAUUUAAAAUGUCAUCUACAAAAAUUUGGACCAUGCUACAAUAGCCGGUUGUAUGAUAACUUGGCUCCAAAAAUUUAUACAUAUAAAAGAUAGUCUCAAUCAUUUCAAACAUGUGAAUUCAGUUAAACUUAAUUUAAACCUUCUAUUAAGUAUAAUUAAUUUCUCCUAAUCCAAUCAUUCUAAACGUACUUAAUACAUUUUUUUAUUAUUUUAUAAUAUAUAGCAAUGUAUAGAAGUGGAGAUUUUAUUUAAGACAAGUGAAAAGAAGCCCACAAAACGAACACCCAAAUGAAAGUGGCUCCAUCCACAUCCUCAAUAUUAUUGAGGCAAGAAAUUGAAGUCCGCAUCAAUAAUAAGACCCCACUUUUGCUUCUAAUCUCAAUUACACCCACCUUUUGCUUUCUCUGCCGCUCUCUCUCUCUCAAGCCUCAUUAAACCUCCAACUUUACUCUUCCUUCUCUCUCUCUCUCUCUCUCUCUCUCUCGCGUAAAAAAGCAAAGCAUAGCAACAAACAAAAUUGGAGAGGAGAGAGAGACCUCUUGGAGCUUUAAAACAAAAUAAAAAAUAAAAACAAGCCCAGAUCUCAUCUCAUCUCAACUCGACUCAAUUAGUCUCAUCAAAAUGAGCCAGAAAUCGCUGAUCUACGCCUUCGUGGCGCGCGGAAAUGUUGUGCUUGCUGAGUACACUGAGUUCAGUGGCAAUUUCAACUCCAUAGCCUAUCAGUGCCUCCAGAAACUCCCUGCUUCCAACAACAAGUUCACUUACAACUGUGAUGCUCACACCUUCAAUUAUCUCGUCGAUAAUGGUUACAGUUAUGUUCUUUUAUCUUUGCCUCACUUCGUUUGCGUUUUGAUUUGUGGGUAUGUUAUGAGAAAUUGGGGGAUUCAGGUUCGGUAGCGGUGGCUCUCGUGUCAUUUUAUAGCUUAGGGAUUAUCUUUGGUUAUUUUAAAUAACGCUUUUAUGCUUUUCGAUUAGUUUAUUUGCUUACUCUACUGUCGGCGAAACUGCCAGGAAGCAGCCUGCUAUUGUAUUUAGCUUGUAAUUACAUGUUGAUACUUGAAAGAAGAUUACGAGGGCGUUCGCUGUCUUGUUAGUUGCAAAUAUAGUUAACUAUUCCGAGUAAAUCGUGCUGUCGUAGUUCAUCUGCUGUAUACUCUGUGUGUUGUUUUCUUUUCUAUUCUGUUGGUAGGUUGGCUGACAUUUCGAUGUUGCAGCAUAUUGUGUGGUCGCAGAUGAAUCGUCCGGAAGACAAAUACCGAUGGCUUUUCUGGAGCGCGUCAAGGAUGAAUUUGUUUCCAAAUAUGGGGGUGGAAAGGCUGCCACGGCUCCUGCCAAUGGCCUGAACAAGGAAUUUGGGUAUUCUGUUGUGAUUCUGAUAUUAAAGCCCAUGAACAGACGAUUUUCUUGUUACUCUAGUUUGCUUAAUAUAUUAUACUUUGCAGACCAAAAUUGAAAGAACUUAUGCAGUACUGUGUUGAUCAUCCUGAGGAGAUCAGCAAGCUUGCGAAGGUUAAGGCUCAGGUUUCAGAAGUCAAAGGUGUUAUGAUGGAGAAUAUUGAAAAGGUAGGGAUGCUUUGUUUGUUUCAUAAGUGAUUUGUUGGGUUUUCUACAGGAUAGAUGUAUCAGUAGUUUGUUCUCACUUGCUUUUAGAUGCUGGGUUCAUUCUUUCUUUUCCUUUUGCCUUUUACAGUUAUUGAAUAUUUUACAAGUGUUCCUAUUUGUGUUAGAAAUAGUUAAAAGUGAAGCUGGGGGGAAGAUUGCAAAAUUAUUGUAUUGAAAAUGUCAUGGGAGAAAAACAAAGAAACUCAAAAUUAAAGAAAAAUAAGUGACAAAUUGGAAAAUGGAUUGCUGAGAGCCUGAUGCAGUUACAAUUUCACUUUAUAUCUAUCUGCAGCUCAUUAAUACUUUCAUUUUAAGGUCUGAUUGGUAGCAAGUCGUUAGUUCUCUUUUUAGACUCUCUAUUGAAGCAGGCUAUUAGGCAUGCCAAACAAUUUGGCUUCUCCUUCCUCAAUGUCUAAGAAAAGUAACAUGUACACAUGUGAUUGCAUUCGAGAAGGUGAGAGGUGUUGUUAAAUGUGUUUUUCUCUUGAUGAGGUUUUAGGAAUAGUAUCAUGAAUUUGGAAAUUUCAUUUCCCUAAUUUGUAUCUUAUAGCACCUCACUUGAAUCAUAUUUAUUAUGCCACGAAGGUUUUUUUGUGCUUUUGAGAAUUAUAUGUAUAACCAGUUAAUAAUUAUUUGCACGAUUUAAUCUCUGUGUAGUUUAAGUUGCAUAGCAGAUAAUGUUCCGACAAAAAGAUCGAUAACUGCACACUUCUAGGAUAAAAUUCUAUGUUGGAAAAGUUGACUAACUCCAUUUUUUCUUUUUUAUGUAAAAUGCAAAUAUCCUCUUAUUGAAUCAAAAUAAUGUGUGGUACAUUCUGUUGACUUAUACGGACUAUUUGGACCUCAAUGCCUUUUCAUCCCUUGUUUGUCACUGUUGUGGUAUAGUCAUCACUGACUCAUCCUUGAGUUUUGAUGCAGGUUUUAGAUAGGGGGGAAAAGAUUGAGCUACUGGUCGAUAAGACUGAGAACCUUCAUCAGCAGGUUAGUGUCUCUUUUCGCUUUUGCGCUACAAAUGUGUGUGUGUGAUAAUAAUUUGAACGUAAAACUUUAAGAACUUUGAUUGAGUAAAUCUCUAUUCCGUCUGAGGGUGAAUGGCAGUUGAAGUUUAUGUUUAGGUCAAAUCAUACAUUUUGACUUUUAGUACAAAAAUCUCUGUAGCUUUCCUUCAAAGUCCAAUGUCAUUGAACCUCCUUUUCUCUCCCAUGUUGGAUACCACAAAGGAUAGAUGAUUUGCUGCAUGAUUAAUAUUGAUGACCUCAUUGUAAAAUGUAUCACGUGAUUUGAUAUUAUCUUCACCAUUUUUGAGUUUUCAGCCAUUUGUUUGAAAGCAUUACAAUGAUACUUUUCAUGUCCUCAUAGACAAGGGCAAGUCGUUCCUAAUUGGAAAAUUGAACACUUGCAGGCACAAGACUUUCGGAGUACGGGGACCAAAAUGCGGAGGAAAAUGUGGCUGCAAAAUAUGAAGAUCAAGCUGAUUGUUUUGGGAAUACUGAUUGCCUUGAUCCUCAUCAUAGUCCUCUCUGUUUGCCAUGGUUUCAACUGCGGAAAAUGAGUGCUAUUCUCCAGGAGGCUUAUAUUACGCUCUUCUAAGAGCUUCUGUGAUGAUAUUGUGAAAGAGAUAUAUAAAUAUAUAUGAUCUUGACUUUGUAUUUAGUCUAAAAAAGUUAGCAGUUUCCCUAUAUUUGUUACAAAGAAAACCGAAAACUUAUUUUUGCUUGUGAAUGAGUCCCGUCAUUAUAUUGUGAGAAUACUUGUGCAAAGAUGCUGC
rnacentral:lncRNA from 1 species